UUCUCUGUCUUUUGCUUUCCAGUGACCAACGCCAUGACGGGCAUGAGUCCUUCGCCGUCACUGUCAGCCCUUUCCAGCCGCGCUGGCUCCAUCGCCAGCCUGCACGACCGCAUCAUGUUCAGCCCGGCCAAUGAGGAGGCCAUUGAGCGCCUGAAGGAAACUGAGAAAAUCAUCGCAGAGCUCAACGAGACAUGGGAAGAGAAACUUCGUCGGACUGAAGCCAUUCGAAUGGAACGAGAGGCCCUGCUGGCAGAAAUGGG